rnacentral:rRNA from 1 species
CCUACGGGCGGCAGCAGUGGGGAAUAUUGCACAAUGGGGGGAACCCUGAUGCAGCGAUGCCGCGUGGGUGAAGAAGUACUUCGGUGUGUAAAGCCCUGUCAGCAGGGAAGAAAAUGACGGUACCUGGACCAGAAGCCCCGGCUACCUCCGUGCCAGCAGCCGCGGUAAUACGUAGGGGGCAAGCGUUCUCCGGUUUUGUUGGGUUUACAGUGAGCGUCGGCGGAGGUGCACGUCAGCGGUAAAAUGGCGGGGCUAAACCCCGCACCGCCGUGGAAACUGUUUCCCUUGAGUGCGCGAAGGGUAGGCGGAAUGCGUGGUGUAGCGGUGAAAUGCAUAGAUAUCACGCAGAACUCCGAUCGCGAAGGCAGCCUACCGGCGCGCAACUGACGCUGAGGCACGAAAGCGUGGGUAUCGAACAGGAUUAGAUACCCCUGUAGUC